rnacentral:rRNA from 1 species
CCUACGGGAGGCAGCAGUAGGGAAUCUUCCACAAUGGGCGAAAGCCUGAUGGAGCAACGCCGCGUGGGUGAAGAAGGUCUUCGGAUCGUAAAACCCUGUUGUUAGAGAAGAAAGUGCGUGAGAGUAACUGUUCACGUUUCGACGGUAUCUAACCAGAAAGCCACGGCUAACCACGUGCCAGCAGCCGCGGUAAUACGUAGGUGGCAAGCGUUAUCCGGAUUUAUUGGGCGUAAGGGGAACGCAGGCGGUCUUUUAAGUCUGAUGUGAAAGCCUUCGGCUUAACCGGAGUAGUGCAUUGGAAACUGGGAGACGUGAGUGCAGAAGAGGGGAGUGGAACUCGAUGUGUAGCGGUGAAAUGCGUAGAUAUAUGGAAGAACACCAGUGGCGAAAGCGGCUCUCUGGUCUGUAACUGACGCUGAGGUUCGAAAGCGUGGGUAGCAAACAGGAUUAGAUACCCCAGUUGUC